UUGUUGUUAUUUUUGACUUUUAUCAAAUGACAUUAUUUAUUAAUAUCUAUUCAUUUAUUUGUGCAAUAUUUAUUUAAUCGUAAUGUGACUGACAAUGUUCACUGACAUAAAAAAAACUAUUAACGAAUUUCUAUAACGAUUUAAAUGUUAUAUAAUUAUGAAAUUUUGUGCUGAUAUAUAACCUUUAAAGUAUUAUAACAAUUAAAUAAUGUUACAGAUGUAUUGAUAAUGAAAUACGUGAAAUGUCGAAACUAUUUAUAUUAAUUCAAAUUAUAAAAUUCACUAUUAAAAGAAUAGGUAAAACCGAGAAGUGGCAAGAAACGAAUGUUGUUUACAAAUUUAAUUGCAAGAGUUGCCCUGCAAAUUAUAUUGGCCAAACAAAACGUUCAUUGAACACACGUAUAUCAAUGAACAUAAAAAUAAUAAAAACGAUAAAUCUGUGGUUCGUGCACAUCAACUAAAUUUUGAUCAUGAUUUCGAUUGAAAGAAUACCAUUAUACUUGAUCAUAAAAAAAAUUAUAAAAAAUGCUCUAUUUCCGAAAUGAUUCAUAUUUUAAGUAACGAUUCUACAAUUAAUAAGAAAAAAAGAUAUUUGUUUUCUUAAUAAAACGUAUUUCCCUCUUAUUAGAAAAUUAAAUUCAUAAUAGAAUCUUGAAGGUCUUUUCCUCUAUACACUAUUUACCUAUGAGUUCAUUGACUUCCUUUUUUUUAACACGUAUAGUAUUCCUCCAAAACAAAUUUUAAUUCAGUUUUGACUUGAUGCUCGCAUCGAAAUGACGAAAAUUGUCGCGUAUCUAAUUUUUGUAGUGUUUUACCUUUUAAUUUUUAACGAUAAUUUUAAAAAUGGAUUGACUAGUUGCAAUGUAGUAUUAUUUUAAAUAUUCAGCCUGAAGAAUAUGGUAAACCAAACCAUCGAAACGUCGCAACUUGACAAAAUAAUAUAAAUCUGUUUUAUGUAUUUUUCUUUACCUUCCAUUGAUCGAAUUUACUUCAUAUCAAAAUAUAAGAAAAUUCUUAACACUGAGAGGAGGUCUGAUCGUGAGACAAGACGAAACGUUUGUAAUUCGUGUAUAUACACGCAUAUUUUUAAUUAAUAAAAUACGACCUAAACAAAAACAAUACUAUUUUUUUAAAUAUUAUUAUUAUUAUUAUUUGCUGACGUAUCGCGAUUCGCUCGCAACGAUGAUAAAGACAAAAGUGACGUCACAAGUGCAGUUGGCAGAAAGGUGGGGAUGAGGGAGAGACAGACACGUUCCACCUACAACCGAAUAAGGAGCCCGCGUUUGUAUCAGGAGUCCAUAACUUCAAGCAACAUAUACGCUUAUCAUAUUGACAAACCGGCUUUCAAUGAUAAAGACCUUCUCGCUCUUCUGUUUUCCUAACAUCGGGAAGUCGCGAUUAGAAUGCACGUGGUCGCCUUUUGAAUAUUUUCAUUCCAUUGCCAUCUGUGUGGACCCUCCAACGCUUUCGCCAAACCUCCAAACCGAACUCAAUACACCUUACCUUCAUUUAUAUAGUUCAUUAAAUUUUAAAUUUCGUUUUCUCAAAAAAAAAAAAAAUAAUAAUAAUUUUUUUUUUUAAAUUUUUUACCUUAUUUUAAUUUCUCACUGACUUUUCUUUAUCGGAAAAUUUAUUGACCUUCAUUUUUUUUUCCCCACUUAGAAAAAAAUAUUAAAAUAAAUUUUUAAAAAAAUGGGAAAAAGAAAAAAAAAUGUUUGGUUUUUAAAAAAAUACAGGAGGAAAAUUGUAAUUAUUUUUUUUUAAGCUGACGGAUAACGAAUAACAAAUUAGAAUCAAUGGGUCGAAGAGAGAAGGUUCAGAAAACGAAAGAAAGGCAUUUAUUUAAUAAACGGACAUCGUUAAAACGUCCGAUUUAGCUCGAUUUCGACGCAAGAUUAACAGGAUACUAUAAAGAGUUGUAAGAUUAUUAUACUAUAUAUAUAUAUAUAUAUUGAUUGUAUUCACUGAGAUAUAUAAAUAUAAGUGAAGAAAAGUGUA